rnacentral:rRNA from 1 species
AUUGUGAAGCAGAAGUUUUCGGACGGAAGCGGAACGAUAUGUUCUAGCGGCGGACGGGUGAGUAACGCGUGAGCAACCUGUCCCUUACAGGGGGAUAACACAGCGAAAGUUGUACUAAUACCGCAUAAGACCACAGAGUCACAUGGCUUAGGGGUCAAAGGAGCAAUCCGGUAAGGGGUGGGCUCGCGUCCGAUUAGAUAGUUGGUGAGGUAACGGCCCACCAAGGCGAUGAUGCAUAGCCGGGCUGAGAGGCUGAACGGCCACAUUGGGACUGAGACACGGCCCAGACUCCUACGGGAGGCAGCAGUAGGGAAUUUUCGGCAAUGGGGGAAACCCUGACCGAGCAACGCCGCGUGAGUGAUGAAGGUCUUCGGAUUGUAAAGCUCUGUUGUAAGGGAAGAAUGAAUUGGAUAGAAUCCGAUUGUGACGGUACCUUACCAGAAAGCUACGGCUAACUACGUGCCAGCAGCCGCGGUAAUACGUAGGUAGCGAGCGUUAUCCGGAAUUAUUGGGCGUAAAGGGUGCGUAGGCGGCUUGUUAAGUUUAAGGUGAAAGAAUGGGGCUCAACCCCAUAAAGCCUUAGAUACUGGCAAGCUAGAGUACUGGAGAGGGUAGUGGAAUUCCAUGUGUAGCGGUAAAAUGCGUAGAUAUAUGGAGGAACACCGGUGGCGAAGGCGGCUACCUAGACAGAGACUGACGCUGAGGCACGAAAGCGUGGGGAGCAAAUAGGAUUAGAUACCCUAGUAGUCCACGCCGUAAACGAUGAAUGCUAGAUAUCGGGGCAACUCGGUGUCGAAACUAACGCGAUAAGCAUUCCGCCUGUGGAGUAUGCACGCAAGUGUGAAACAUAAAGGAAUUGACGGGGGCCCGCACAAGCGGUGGAGUAUGUGGUUUAAUUCGACGCAACGCGAAGAACCUUACCAGGCCUUGACAUCCCUUGCAAAACUCUAGAGAUAGAGCAGAGGUUAUCAAGGUGACAGGUGGUGCAUGGUUGUCGUCAGCUCGUGUCGUGAGAUGUUGGGUUAAGUCCCGCAACGAGCGCAACCCUUGUCUUCAGUUACCAUCAUUAAGUUGGGGACUCUGGAGAGACUGCCGGUGAUAAACCGGAGGAAGGUGGGGAUGACGUCAAAUCAUCAUGCCCCUUAUGGCCUGGGCUACACACGUACUACAAUGGCUGUUACAACGUGAAGCAACACUGUGAAGUGAAGCGAAUCACUAAAAGGCAGUCUCAGUUCGGAUUGAAGUCUGCAACUCGACUUCAUGAAGUUGGAAUCGCUAGUAAUCGCGGAUCAGCAUGCCGCGGUGAAUACGUUCUCGGGCCUUGUACACACCGCCCGUCAUACCAUGAGAGCUGGCAAUACCCGAAGCCGGUGGCCU